rnacentral:rRNA from 1 species
AGAGUUUGAUCAUGGCUCAGGACGAACGCUGGCGGCGUGCUUAACACAUGCAAGUCGAACGAGGUCCAUCCUUCGGGAGAAGACCUAGUGGCGAACGGGUGAGUAACACGUGAGGAACCUGCCCCGAAGACCGGGAUAACAGCGGGAAACCGCUGCUAAUACCGGAUGCCCCCAUUGGAUCGCAUGGUCCGAUGAGGAAA